GCGGUGAUGGGUAGAGGUCUCAGCUUGGGAGGUCCCACCCAGUGAGGAGAAAUGUCUCAGACAGGCUCCAUUCUGUUGCUGGUGGCUGGCUGGCUGGAAAUUCAAGCCAAUGGGUAUUAUCUUGUGAGGUGCUGUGGAAGUGGGGCCUGCAGACCAAGGCUGCUCUGCCCUCUGGAUUCAGUCCCCUUGCUAGUGAUUUGAUGCAGAUGAAUGCUGAGACACUCUGCUGGAAGUAGAUUAAAAACUUAGACAUCUCUGCACACCUCUACCUUUCCACCAUGGAGCCUCUGAGACACUUCAAGAAAACCCCUUUUUUUCUUCCCCAUUACCUUUCCCAUUGCUUUAUGUCCUCAGGUUAUAUUAGAAUUGUUAUUUUUUUUCCCUUUAAGCGUAAACACCAAAUAAACAUCAGUAAGACUACAGUGAAUUUUGUUGUUGUUGUUAAUUAUGUCAAAUAUGUUUAGUGAAUAUAAGUGAUCCCUGAAUUUGGAGGAAAGAUAUACAUUAAUCAGAAACUAUUAUAAAUUAGUGAAUUAGCA
rnacentral:lncRNA from 1 species